rnacentral:rRNA from 1 species
UACAGAGGGUGCGAGCGUUGUUCGGAAUUAUUGGGCGUAAAGCGCUUGUAGGCGGCUUGUUAAGUCGGACGUGAAAUCCCUCAGCUUAACUGGGGAACUGCGUCCGAUACUGGAUGGCUCGAGUUUGGGAGAGGGAUGCGGAAUUCCAGGUGUAGCGGUGAAAUGCGUAGAUAUCUGGAGGAACACCGGUGGCGAAGGCGGCAUCCUGGACCAACACUGACACUGAGGAGCGAAAGCCAGGGGAGCAAACGGG